rnacentral:lncRNA from 1 species
AAGUUGCUUUGAUAUCCGUACUGUAUAUCAACUUCAUUUGGCCAUAUCAAGUAUUUUUCAAACCCAUUAUUAAAGAACCCUAUUGAUUGAUCUUGACCUUAAUUCGAUCUGUGCUUCACGAUUUCUUGAUCAAGUUACUUAAAUCUGACCCUCAGAUCAGAGACCCUGAAUUGCCCCGGUAUCUGGAUGGACCGACACAUCCGGACAAC